rnacentral:rRNA from 1 species
UACGGAGGGUGCGAGCGUUGUCCGGAAUCACUGGGCGUAAAGGGUGCGUAGGCGGGUCUUUAAGUCAGGGGUGAAAUCCUGGAGCUCAACUCCAGAACUGCCUUUGAUACUGAGGAUCUUGAGUCCGGGAGAGGUGAGUGGAACUGCGAGUGUAGAGGUGAAAUUCGUAGAUAUUCGCAAGAACACCAGUGGCGAAGGCGGCUCACUGGCCCGGUACUGACGCUGAGGCACGAAAGCGUGGGGAGCAAACAGG